GGGUUGAUCCCGGCGGACCCGGACUGCUAUUUGGGUGAGAAUAAGCCAUGCGAGUUGAAUGGAAUACCUAAAUUUUUUCAUAGCAAACUGCUCAGUAACACAUGAUCAACUUGCCCUAUAGAGAAAAAUAACCUCGGGAAACUGAGGAUAAUGUUUCAUAGUUGAAAAGGCUUGGAAAAGUUUUUCAAUCAAAGGGAUAAAAAAAAUGGUUUUUAUUUGCUGUAGGAUAGGAUCGUGCUCGAUUAUGGUUGUUGGUGAGGUAAUGGCUCACCAAGCCGAUAAUCGAUAGGGGCCGUGAGAGCGGGAGCCCCGAGAUGGGUACUGAGACAGCGACCCAGGUCUUACGAGACGCAGCAGGCGCGAAACCUCCGCAAUACACGAAAGUGUGACGGGGUUACCCAAAGUGUUCAAUUUUGAACUGUGGUAGGUGAGUAAUGUCCCCUACUAGAAAGGAGAGGGCAAGGCUGGUGCCAGCCGCCGCGGUAAAACCAGCUCUUCAAGUGGUCGGGAUAAUUAUUGGGCUUAAAGUGUCCGUAGCCGGUUUAGUAAGUUCCUGGUAAAAUCGGGUAGCUUAACUAUCUGUAUGCUAGGAAUACUGCUAUACUAGAGGGCGGGAGAGGUCUGAGGUACUACAGGGGUAGGGGUGAAAUCUUAUAAUCCUUGUAGGACCACCAGUGGCGAAGGCGUCAGACUGGAACGUGCCUGACGGUGAGGGACGAAAGCCAGGGGAGCGAACCGGAUUAGAUACCCGGGUAGUCCUGGCCGUAAACGAUGCAUACUAGGUGAUGGUAUGGCCAUGAGCCGUGUCAGUGCCGUAGGGAAACCGUUAAGUGUGCCGCCUGGGAAGUACGGUCGCAAGGCUAAAACUUAAAGGAAUUGGCGGGGGAGCACCACAAGGGGUGAAGCCUGCGGUUCAAUUGGAUUCAACGCCGGGAA
rnacentral:rRNA from 1 species